rnacentral:lncRNA from 1 species
CCAAUUAUACAGUCCAAAAUAAAAAUGUAAAAAUAUAAAUUUAUGCUAACCUAUACUAAUCCUAACUACGCUCCAAUGCUCUACCCGAUGCCUCAGGCCUUCAACACGAAUGUCUUCCGCCAACAUAAUAUUACGGGGCAUUCCUCGGUGAAUAAAUACAUGAAACCUCAGGGCAUUCCCCGGCCAAAUGAAUACACUUGAAUCCAAUACGAUAAAUUAGAAGACAUUCAACACACAUUCCACAUUCGAUCAUUCAACAAAACACAAGUUCUAAAUUUGCCUACCCCUAAAAUUUUCCCUCUUUUUUUUUUUGCUUCAACCUAAAACACAAUACUACCGAGUUCGAUUAAUAUCCAUUUCAACUCAAACAACCAAUGAAUCAAACUAACCAAAAGUUCACCCUUUUUUUUUAUCCAUUUUUAAUCCCCGCCCAAAUUUCAUCCUUGAAUUACCAACUUCAAAUCUUAAACAAGAUAUCGUUUUGUCACAUAACCAACAGAAUCCAACAAUGAAUCGAUGCCAAACAAUUAUUCACCACUCAACACAGAACAAACAACACACGAUAUUCAAUCUAAUAAUAUAUGAUAUUCACGGAUGAUGAAAAUGAAAAAAGGAAAGAGUAGAGUUGGACCUCGAUUGAAGCUUUUAUUGUUCCAAAUUAUAUGAUCAAAAGACAUAGCCGGAUCUGUGAACUUUCGAUUCGAACCUCAAUCAUGACUCAAAAUCACAUUUCGAUAUAAUCCUUACUGUUUAUUGUCGACCCAAAUUGAGAACCCCAAAACGAAGAUAAAUCAGUAUCAAAUUCUUGCUCCCGUUACUGUUUUGAAUGUCUUCUGACUGACUUCAUCGGAAUCGAGAAUGGUUGAGCGGAUUUUAUUGCUCACCAGUGGAUUUUGGCGUUCUCCGGUGGAUGAUUGCCGGAGUCGGCACUUGGGGGUCGGAUUCAGUAAUUUUCCAACUAUUUUUGACCGGUUUUUGUUGGGUAUUUGCCGGAGAUAAUAUUCUGGAGGAAUUUUCAGCCGGAGAAGGCACUGCUCUUCACUAUUUCCCCGAUUAUCCUCUCUUUCACUUCUUUGAUCGACUGUUUGGCCAUGCCCCUCUCUCUCAAUCUCUCCUCUCUUUCAAUUCUCUCUUCAAUGCUCGAUUCUCCCUCAAUUUUCCUUUUGUUAUGGGUGAUGGGUUUUCUCUUUAAUGGAAGGAAAAUGGAGUUUUGUUUGUUGAUGUGUAGCUGUGAGAAUCAGUGAUGGUGUGGAGAAGAUCAGUAUAUGAUCUGUCUAGGUAAAGAAUUAUAGAGAAGAUGAUAUGCGUAUGUUCCUUAUGGGUUUCUUUGGGAGCAAGAAAAGAAGAAAAAAAAUAUUUUCCUCCUGAGGAUGAGUAUGAAUUCUCCCUUCUUUCAGGGAAUCCUUCAUGGAAUCAAAAUAGGAGCCUCCUUUUUGUGACGUGCUGUG